CUCCAGAACAGAUUAAGGCUAUAAGGAAUUACUCACUUUCUAAAAUUCUUUGCCAUAACUACAACUUCUUGGAGAUCCAGUAUCCAAAUGCAUUUGAACUGAGUGAUAAAAAGCUCCCUUGUGAUGACAUUCCCGACCUUGAUUUGACAGUAUUUAGUCCAGGCGAGGGUGACAUCCGUUGCAUGGGCGAAUUUGGCGCUUGUACAAAACAUACCUUCGAUGACGGAAAAAAAAUGACUCUUCAAAACACACACUGCCAAAGCUAUUGUCGGUGCCUGGGAAACCGAUCACACACACGGUUCUUCUGGGUUGUUAAAACAUGCCGCGAUGGUAAGAUAUUUGAUGAAAAGAAGCAGCGUUGUAGAAAUGAAUCUAAAGUAAAUUGUAUUUUCCGAAAGUAAAAUUGACAAGGUCCUUGUUUUGACCACCAACAGAAUAAAUAAUGGAAAUAAAUCGCAUCAUAAAUGACAGUGAAUCGAUUCUGAAAUGAUUAUAAUGUGAAACACACAAUGUAAAGAAAUGAUGAGCCGUUUAAUGAAUUACUUUUCUACAGUGUUUUGGCCGUUUGUAUUGUAAGAUAGUGUCGGACGUUUAAUUUUUCGAGAGUGAAUCUCUUGGCAAGUUAUGCAGCGUGAUAAUUUAUAACCUGUGAAUAUCUAGGUCUGCUUGUAUACAGAAUAUAAAUGCCUCCAAGUUAUACGACCAACUAAGAACUUAAACAUAGCUAUUGAGAAACCAUAUGUAAAUUAUUACAUGAUUACUUAAAGAGAGCAUGUUUAAUUUUUUAGUAGACAGUAUUGCACUUUCUCAGAAAUUUGUCGACUCUUUAUUAUGAAGAUCAGUGCUUAUCAUGGCAAUUUCAGUAGGUAGUAUUAGCAUUUAAAAAUAUAGAGUUUUUUGAGUUUCCUAAGAGAAAUCUAAUGUACCAUUGCUUAAGAUCCGUGCUUAUUUUGGCAAUUUCAAUAUGUUGUAUUAGACUUUUAAACAUUUUAAAAAUAUAGUGCUUUUUGAAUUUUCAAAGAGAAAUCUAAUGUACCAUUGCUUAAGAACCGUGCUUAUUUUGGCAAUUUCAGUAUAUAGUAUAAGUAUUAGUAUUAGUAUUUAAAAAUAGAGUGUUUUUUGAGUUUCCUAAGAGAAAUCUAAUGUACCAUUGCUUAAGAUCCGUGCUUAUUUUGGCAAUUUCAGUAUGUUGUAUUAGUAUACUGGUAAUUGAAAAUGCAGCUCCUGGUUCGUCAGUUUGAACUCUUGGUGUCAUGAAAAAAUUAUGAAUGAAGGUCAUUCUUAUAUUUUUCAAUAGCUUCACAUAGCUAAUGUGGUCAAUUCAUGUGACAUAUUGUAUCUUGUAUCGUUAUAUUUGUAAAUUGUAUGGUUCGGUAGAUGACAUCAAUAAGUACAUAAGAUUCUGAGUUUUGUUACCAUAUGUUCUAUGUUGAAAUUUUUUAGCUUUAUUAUUAAAUGAUACGCGACUGAGUUCUGUGUAAAUGAUGUAUGUUUGUUUCUCCUUUUAUAUUACUACUUUAGAUUUUGUAGCUGUCAUGUAUUCUUUUCAUUAAUAAAUACUCGGAGAGCAAA